UACCAGCUCUCCGAGUGGUAGGGAUGAUUAUUGGGCUUAAAGCGUCCGUAGCCAGCUUAGCAAGUCUCCUGUUAAAUUCAGCGACCUAAUCGUUGACCCGCGGGAGAUACUACUAGGCUAGGAGGCGGGAGAGGUCAACGGUACUUCCGGGGUAGGGGUGAAAUCCUAUAAUCCCGGGAGGACCACCAGUGGCGAAGGCUGUUGACUAGAACGCGCUCGACGGUGGGGGACGAAAGCUGGGGGAGCGAACCGGAUUAGAUACCUGGGUAGUCCCAGCUGUAAACGAUGCGAGCUAGGUGUUGGGGUGGCUACGUGCCACUUCAGUGCCGCAGGGAAGCCAUUAAGCUCGCCGCCUGGGGAGUACGGCCGCAAGGCUGAAACUUAAGGAAUUGGCGGGGAGUACCACAAGGCGUGAAGCUUGCGGUUC
rnacentral:rRNA from 1 species